GAGAAUGCCGGUGUGAGUAGCGAAAGACGGGUGAGAAUCCCGUCCACCGAUUGACUAAGGUUUCCAGAGGAAGGCUCGUCCGCUCUGGGUUAGUCGGGUCCUAAGCUGAGGCCGACAGGCGUAGGCGAUGGAUAACAGGUUGAUAUUCCUGUACCACCUAUAAUCGUUUUAAUCGAUGGGGGGACGCAGUAGGAUAGGCGAAGCGUGCGAUUGGAUUGCACGUCUAAGCAGUAAGGCUGAGUAUUAGGCAAAUCCGGUACUCGUUAAGGCUGAGCUGUGAUGGGGAGAAGACAUUGUGUCUUCGAGUCGUUGAUUUCACACUGCCGAGAAAAGCCUCUAGAUAGAAAAUAGGUGCCCGUACCGCAAACCGACACAGGUAGUCAAGAUGAGAAUUCUAAGGUGAGCGAGCGAACUCUCGUUAAGGAACUCGGCAAAAUGACCCCGUAACUUCGGGAGAAGGGGUGCUCUUUAGGGUUAACGCCCAGAAGAGCCGCAGUGAAUAGGCCCAAGCGACUGUUUAUCAAAAACACAGGUCUCUGCUAAACCGUAAGGUGAUGUAUAGGGGCUGACGCCUGCCCGGUGCUGGAAGGUUAAGAGGAGUGGUUAGCUUCUGCGAAGCUACGAAUCGAAGCCCCAGUAAACGGCGGCCGUAACUAUAACGGUCCUAAGGUAGCGAAAUUCCUUGUCGGGUAAGUUCCGACCCGCACGAAAGGCGUAACGAUUUGGGCACUGUCUCAACGAGAGACU
rnacentral:rRNA from 1 species